CCUGGCUGGGUGCUAUUAACUGUCCAAUCUGGCAGACAAAUGGUCACUUUGCUCUUCCCUCUGUUUCACGCGCACCCCACGGCUCAGGCAACCCAGAACGGUGAGGCUGAACCACUGCUCCUGUUAAGAGACGUCAACGAUUACAACCGCAGGUUCUCAGGCCAACCGAGAUCCUUUAUGGACAGGCUGCGUGACGUCCCCACCCUUCUUCGCCAUGCUUUCAGGGAGAUGUUUUCUGUGGGAGGCCUCUUCUGGAUGUUCAGGAUUCGGAUUCUUCUCUGCUUGUUAGGCGCCAUCACCUAUCUGGCCUCGCCGCUCGA